rnacentral:rRNA from 1 species
GAUGAACGCUGGCGGCGUGCCUAAUACAUGCAAGUCGAGCGAACAGACGAGGAGCUUGCUCCUCUGACGUUAGCGGCGGACGGGUGAGUAACACGUGGAUAACCUACCUAUAAGACUGGGAUAACUUCGGGAAACCGGAGCUAAUACCGGAUAAUAUAUUGAACCGCAUGGUUCAAUAGUGAAAGACGGUUUUGCUGUCACUUAUAGAUGGAUCCGCGCCGCAUUAGCUAGUUGGUAAGGUAACGGCUUACCAAGGCAACGAUGCGUAGCCGACCUGAGAGGGUGAUCGGGCAAACUGGAACAGAGACACGGGCCAGACUCCUACGGGAGGCAGCAGCAGGGAAUCUUCCGCAAUGGGCGAAAGCCUGACGGAGCAACGCCGCGUGAGUGAUGAAGGUCUUCGGAUCGUAAAACUCUGUUAUUAGGGAAGAACAAAUGUGUAAGUAACUAUGCACGUCUUGACGGUACCUAAUCAGAAAGCCACGGCUAACUACGUG